UGCUACGAGACUAGUAGACACCUUCGUCAGAGCUUACGAAGGGUUUCGGUAACUUCGGUGGGUUUGACUUCAUGAAAUCGGGGCGAAAUGGCCCCUAAGUAUUCUAUACUUGUCGUAACGUCAAUUUGAUUGCAUAUUCAUGUUAAAUGAGAUUUAUAUGAAUUUUAGAACACUUAAAAUGCAUGCCUUACGUAUCAUGAAAAAUUCAC
rnacentral:lncRNA from 1 species